rnacentral:rRNA from 1 species
AAUCCUACAGCUUAACUGUAGAACUGCCAUUGAUACUGUUUUUCUUGAGUACACCUGAAGUGGGCGGAAUGUGUCAUGUAGCGGUGAAAUGCUUAGAUAUGACACAGAACACCGAUUGCGAAGGCAGCUCACUAAAGUGUCACUGACGCUGAGGGACGAAAGCGUGGGUAGCGAACAGGAUUAGAUACCCUGGUAGUCCACGCCGUAAACGAUGAUCACUAGAUGUUGGCGAUAUAUUGUCAGUAUCUGAGCGAAAGCAUUAAGUGAUCCACCUGGGGAGUACGGUCGCAAGAUUGAAACUCAAAGGAAUUGACGGGGGCCCGCACAAGCGGUGGAGCAUGUGGUUUAAUUCGAUGGUACGCGAGGAACCUUACCUAGGCUUAAAUGUAGAUUGACGUAUUGGGAAACCAGUAUUUCUUCGGACAAUUUACAAGGUGCUGCAUGGUUGUCGUCAGCUCGUGCUGUGAAGUGUCGGGUUAAGUCCCAUAACGAGCGCAACCCCUAUCAUUAGUUGCUAACAUUUAGUUGAGGACUCUAAUGAAACUGCCCGCGUAAGCGUGGAGGAAGGUGGGGAUGACGUCAAAUCAUCACGGCCCUUACGUCUAGGGCUACACACGUGCUACAAUGGUGAAUACAGAGGGAUGCCAGCUGGUAACAGUGAGCAAAUCCACAAAAUUCAUCUCAGUUCGGAUUGAGGUCUGCAACUCGACCUCAUGAAGCUGGAAUCGCUAGUAAUCGUAUAUCAGCCAUGAUACGGUGAAUACGUUCCCGGGCCUUGUACACACCGCCCGUCAAGCCAUGGAAGUUGGGGAUACCUGAAGUCGGUAACCGAAAGGAGCUGCCUAAGGUAAAAUCAGUAACUGGGGCUAAGUCGUAACAAGGUAACCGUA